rnacentral:lncRNA from 10 species
CGCGCGGGGGGCGGGGCCGGCACAGAGUCCACGCCCCGCGCGGCUCCCUCGCGUCCCGCGUCCCGCGUCCCGCGUCCCCUGCUCACCCGGUGGCAAAGCCGGCGAGGAGGCGGCGGCGCUGGUGGGGACUGACCCGGCAGUCCGAGAAUCCACCGCGGCCUUUUCACCCAACCGCCCCCUCCUGCGUGGGGGCCCCGCAUCCCCUGGACUGGCGUGGGCUCUGGGGCCCGAUGCCCUGGCAGCCCCGGCCAUCUCUGCCGCUGGCCGCGGGUACCUGCUCACCUGUCCACGCCGUGGCCGACCCGGGGAUCACCGACAGCCGGGCCAUGCCUCGAGUCCCGCCGCCCGCGCCGCUGCUCGGCUUCUCAGAAACGCACCUCCACGCCGCCAGCCGGGGCUCCAGGGUCCACCGCCCGGGCCCGGAGGACUGGCGACUCCCUCCGAGGUUGGGAGCGCUCCGGAUUUCUCCAACUUCAGGUCGGUCCCCACCCACCGGGCCACGUGACUGGGGAGGAGCAGACCUGGAUAAGAAAUAUGUGCACUCUGCAAAGAACCAAUGAUAAAAGUAACAAUAUCGACGCUUACUGAGCCUUUACUAUGUGCCAGGUACUAGACUAGACACUUAAAAUGCAGUAUCUCAUUGGAUCCUGGCAACAGCUUGUAAGAUAGUAUUCUCAUCACCCCCAUUUUACAGGCAAAUACCUGAUACCUUCUGUCUGGCCUCCUGAAUGCUCCUUGGUUCCAUUCCAAUACGUUGUUCACUGUGCUGCCAGAGUAAUCUUCUCAAACGAUAAGUGUGAUCAUCUCACUUCCCUGCUAAGAGCACCUCAAAAGGCUUCCUAUUGCUCUUAGGAGAAACCCACAUUCUUGCAUGGUCUGCCUAGACCCUGCAUAUUCACUCUGUACUUCAGCCUCAUGGGCCUUCUUCCAGUUCCUUCCAGUCACCUGUUGCCAAAUGGCCUGCCUUUGACUGUCCUGUUCCCUCUGUGUGCAGUGCCCCCUCCUACCCUCUUCAGGAAACUCCUAUGCUUCUUCCAGACCUCAGCUCCAUUAUCAUUUCUUUAGGAAAGCCUUCUCUGACCUUCCAGAGAGAGUGAAGUCUCUCUAAUUAUAUACUAUCUAUCUCUUGGGCAUUUGACACUUUCUGUGGGGGUAGGGGUAGGGGGGUACUGGUUGUUGGAUUAAUAUUUGUCUCCUCCACUGAUUGGAACCUCCAGGAAGGUGACUGAACCCAUUUUUUGCUUAGCAUUGAUGCCCUAAUAUGCAGAGGGUUCUCAAAUACUAGUGAAAGGAUGGCAAAAAGUUAAGGUCGUACCAAAGAAAUCAAGUGGUAAAGCUGGCAUUUACUCCCAGAACCUGUGCUGGACUACCUAGACCUGGAGAGACUGGG